rnacentral:ncRNA from 1 species
AAGAGUUUCUUCUCGCUAUCGGUAUCUCUCAUCGACAUUUGGACUUCUCCUAGCGUUACCUCGGUUGCUUUCACCGGGGUUUUU